rnacentral:rRNA from 1 species
UACGGAGGAUCCGAGCGUUAUCCGGAUUUAUUGGGUUUAAAGGGUGCGCAGGCGGGAGAUUAAGUUGGCGGUGAAAUUUUGCAGCUCAACUGUAAAAGUGCCUUCGAAACUGGUUUCCUUGAGUGUGGAUGAAGUAGGCGGAAUUUGUGGUGUAGCGGUGAAAUGCAUAGAUAUCACGAGGAACUCCGAUUGCGCAGGCAUCUUACUAAACCAUAACUGACGCUCAGGCACGAAGGCGUGGGGAUCAAACAGGAUUAGAUACCCGGGUAGUCCCU